UGGUGGAGUGAUUUGUCUGGUUAAUUCCGUUAACGAACGAGACCCCUGCCUGCUAAAUAGCUUGUGUAGUGAUUUUUCACUGUGUGAAGCUUCUUAGAGGGACGUGCAUUUUUCAAAUGCAGGAAGAUAGGGGCAAUAACA
rnacentral:rRNA from 1 species